rnacentral:lncRNA from 1 species
UGCAAGUGCAAAAAUCUGAAGCAGAGUUAGUAUACAAAGCCAGUUGUAGGACUUCUAAUUCUGUUUGUCUCUGCCAGACAAUCCAUCACAUCUAUUAAGCUAAUUUUCAUCAGGAAAAUGCUUUGAAAUAUGCUAUUUUAGAAUGGAAAUGGCAAAGAAAAUUGAAGGAUACUUAUGUGAAACAAGAAAACUGCAUCUGGUGGGCUUCUUUGUUAAAAUAAAUGUUUGAGCUAUUAUUCAGAGCUUCUGAAAAGGAAGAUUAAGAAAGCAAACUAUCUGGCCUUCUGAUACAAUUGGAUAUGUAAUCUAUUUAUGACAGAGACACUAAAUUUGAUAUUCGAAUAAUGUAUAAAACCAAUUUCUAUUCCAUUUGCACACCCCAAAAACAUUCUGACCUCCUAUCUCUGCCUGUUCAUCCAGUCUACCCAUCUGCCUGUAAUGAAGCUAACCCUAAUGUCAUCACCAGCGCUCAGAUUCUACAAUGACAGUUUCAUUUCUCCAAGUACUUCCAGCCUCCUGAGAAGCAGAGAGGAAAGGACAUCAGAAAGCCCAAACACCAGACUUAGGCAAAGUGGCUCUUAGGUGCCUUCCAGGUUUGUGCCAAAACACCUGUGAAUUCACAGUCCAGAGGUACAUGCAAGAAACUGGUGGUGAUCAGUUUUAAACCAGCAGACCAGAGACCAAAUACAAUCUCAAGCAGAAACAUGGGAAAAGAGAGAGAAAGCUGAUUGAAAGAGGACUGAUGAACACGGGUGACAAUUGCUGAGCUGUAAAGCAGACAAACAGCAUUGCAAGUGCCCUCCUGUGCUUUUGAGAUUGAUGUAAGGAGGCGAAGCGUUACAGAAAACAUGCUGCAUGCAGCUUAAGAGCCUGCAUCAGCCGAAGUUCUGAGGAAAAAUGGGGCAAAAUGGCUUGUUUAUGUUUCCAACAGGAUCCAAGUGACAGAGUUCAAAUCUGGAUGUGCUUUAUUUGUGUGUGAGGUAAACACAUAGGCCAGUAAGGGCUCCUCGGUGAAGUCAGCACAAAUGCAAAGCAUGCCUUCCCACAGUGCACGCGUUUUUGUAAGACAGUAAAACAACA